GUUAGUCGAGCGGACGAAGGGAGCUUGCUCCCGGACGUUAGCGGCGGACGGGUGAGUAACACGUGGGCAACCUGCCCCUUAUACUGGGAUAACUCCGGGAAACCGGAGCUAAUACCGGAUAAUCCCUUUCUCCACCUGGAGAGAGGGUGAAAGAUGGGUUCGGCUAUCACUAAGGGAUGGGCCCGCGGCGCAUUAGCUAGUUGGUAAGGUAACGGCUUACCAAGGCAACGAUGCGUAUCCGACCUGAGAGGGUGAUCGGCCACACUGGGACUGAGACACGGCCCAGACUCCUACGGGAGGCAGCAGUAGGGAAUCUUCCGCAAUGGACAAAAGUCUGACAGAGCAACGCCGCGUGAGUGAGGAAAGCCUUCGGGUCGUAAAGCUCUGUUGUGAGGGAAAAAACGGUACCGUUCGAAUAGGGCGGUACCUUGUCGGUACCUCACCAGAAAGCCACGGCUAACUACGUGCCAGCAGCCGCGGUAAUACGUAGGUGGCAAGCGUUGUCCGGAAUUAUUGGGCGUAAAGCGCGCGCACGCGGCUUCUUAAGUCUGAUGUGAAAUCUCGCGGCUCAACCCCGAGCGGCCAUUGUAAACUGGGGAGCUUGAGUGCAGAAAAGGAGAGUGGAAUUCUACGUGUAGCGGUGAAAUGCGUAUAGAUGUGUAGGAACACCAGUGGCGAAAGCGACUCUCUGGGCUGUAACUGACGCUGA
rnacentral:rRNA from 2 species